rnacentral:rRNA from 1 species
UUGGAGGGCAAGUCUGGUGCCAGCAGCCGCGGUAAUUCCAGCUCCAAUAGCGUAUAUUAAAGUUGUUGCAGUUAAAAAGCUCGUAGUUGAAUUUCGGGACCAUCAUGUCGGUCGUGCCUCGGUACGUACUGGCAUUGUUGGUUUCUCCCUUCUGACGAACCAUGAUGUCAUUUAUUUGGUGUUGUGGGGAAUCAGGACUGUUACUUUGAAAAAAUUAGAGUGUUUAAAGCAGGCUCACGCUUGAAUACAUUAGCAUGGAAUAAUGAAAUAGGACGUUUGAUUCUAUUUUGUUGGUUUCUAGGAUCGACGUAAUGAUUAAUAGGGAUAGUUGGGGGCAUUAGUAUUCAAUUGUCAGAGGUGAAAUUCUUGGAUUUAUUGAAGACUAACUACUGCGAAAGCAUUUGCCAAGGAUGUUUUCAUUAAUCAAGAACGAAAGUUAGGGGAUCGAAGACGAUCAGAUACCGUCGUAGUCUUAACCAUAAACUAUGCCGACUAGGGAUCGGAUGAUGUUAAUUUUUUAAUGACUCAUUCGGCGCCUUACGGGAAACCAAAGUGUUUGGGUUC